CCUACGGGAGGCAGCAGUGAGGAAUAUUGGUCAAUGGGCGAGAGCCUGAACCAGCCAAGUCGCGUGCAGGAUGAAGGAUCUAUGGUUUGUAAACUUCUUUUAUAUGGGAAUAAAGUGAGGAACGUGUUCCUUUUUGUAUGUACCAUAUGAAUAAGCAUCGGCUAACUCCGUGCCAGCAGCCGCGGUAAUACGGAGGAUGCGAGCGUUAUCCGGAUUUAUUGGGUUUAAAGGGUGCGUAGGUGGUUAAUUAAGUCAGCGGUGAAAGGUUGUGGCUCAACCAUGAAAUUGCCGUUGAUACUGGUUGACUUGAGUAUAGAUGAGGUAGGCGGAAUGCGUGGUGUAGCGGUGAAAUGCAUAGAUAUCACGCAGAACACCGAUUGCGAAGGCAGCUUACUAAACUAUAACUGACACUGAAGCACGAAAGCGUGGGGAGCAAACAGGAUUAGAUACCCCUGUAGUC
rnacentral:rRNA from 1 species